AGUGAACGCUGGCGGCAUGCCUUACACAUGCAAGUCGAACGGCAGCGCGGGAGCAAUCCUGGCGGCGAGUGGCGAACGGGUGAGUAAUAUAUCGGAACGUGCCCAGUAGUGGGGGAUAGCCCGGCGAAAGCCGGAUUAAUACCGCAUGAGACCUGAGGGUGAAAGCGGGGGAUCGCAAGACCUCGCGCUAUUGGAGCGGCCGAUAUCAGAUUAGCUAGUUGGUGGGGUAAAGGCCUACCAAGGCAACGAUCUGUAGUUGGUCUGAGAGGACGACCAGCCACACUGGGACUGAGACACGGCCCAGACUCCUACGGGAGGCAGCAGUGGGGAAUUUUGGACAAUGGGCGCAAGCCUGAUCCAGCAAUGCCGCGUGCA
rnacentral:rRNA from 1 species